rnacentral:rRNA from 1 species
AGUGAACGCUGGCGGUAGGCCUAACACAUGCAAGUCGAACGGCAGCACAGUAAGAGCUUGCUCUUACGGGUGGCGAGUGGCGGACGGGUGAGGAAUACAUCGGAAUCUACUUUUUCGUGGGGGUUAACGUAGGGAAACUUACUCUAAUACCGCAUACGACCUACGGUUGAAAGCAUGGGUUCUUCUGACCUUUCUCGUUUGAUUUAGCCGAUGUCGGAUUAGCUAGUUGGCGGGGUAAAGGCCCACCAAGGCGACGAUCCGUAGCUGGUCUGAGAGGAUGAUCAGCCACACUGGAACGGAGACACGGUCAAGACUCCUACGGGAGGCAGCAGUGGGGAAUAUUGGACAAUGGGGGAAAGCAUGAUAAAGCAAUACCGCGUGGGUGAAGAAGGACUUCGGGUUGUAAAGCAAUUUUGUUGGGAAAGAAAAGAAGCAGGUUAAAACACCGCUGUUCUGACGGUACCCAAAGAAUAAGCACCGGCUAACUUCGUG